rnacentral:rRNA from 1 species
GAUUAACGCUGGCGGCGUGCAUAACACAUGCAAGUCGAACGAUGAAACUCAUUAGAUUUCUUCGGAAUGAAAAUGAAUGGAUUAGUGGCGAACGGGUGAGUAACGCGUGAGUAACCUGCCUUACACAAGGGGAUAGCCUCUGGAAACGGAGAAUAAUACCCUAUGAAACCAGACAAUCGCAUGAUAACCUGGUCAAAAUGUUUAGUGGUGUAAGAUGGACUUGCGUCUGAUUAGCUAGUUGGUGAGAUAAAAGCUCACCAAGGCAACGAUCAGUAGCCGGCUUGAGAGGGGGGACGGGCACAUUGGGACUGAGACACGGCCCAGACCCCCACGGGAGGGAGCAGUGGGGAAUUUUGCACCAUGGGGGAAACCCUGAUGCAGCGACGCCGCGUGAUUUAGAAGGCCUUCGGGUUGUAAAAAUCUUUUGUAUAGGAAGAAAAUGACAGUACUAUACGAAUAAGGUCCGGCUAAUUACGUG